rnacentral:rRNA from 1 species
AUAUCAAACUAGUACCAGAGUCUAACUUGCGACCGCCGUCCGGAUUGUGUACGUUCAGCUCGCCUUUGCUUCUCAUCGAACGAUGAGACCGCAGCUCGCCGCCUGCCCACUCAUUACGAACCCUUGUACGGAACUCCACCCCCUGUUGUCAACCUUUGCUGACGAUUAUGGCGUAUUACAGAUGCCUGGUUUCCCCCGAAGCCGAGAGCGGAAAUCUAACCGGGUUCACCCUAAUCGAUCAACCACUCCAUUACCGAGUGGUUCCGCUGCUAGGGAUCGACCAAACUCUCCUACUAGUCGGUGUGACCCUGACUCUGUGCCGGGUCUGAGGAUGCCCUCCGUCGUCACCCCUUAUAACGUGUUACCCGCGUUCGGACUACGUCGGUACGGCGCACACACUUCUUCCGGAAGCCCAACAUUUCGUGAAAGUCAGUCCUCCUUUCCAAUCAUCAAUUAUGGACGAUCGACACUGCAAUGACUGUCUUCUUCGUGGCCGAUUGAGGCACGGUCGUCGGCGCCAUUAUGCCUCCCACGCUCGCAAUUAGCCUUAAUGACCCGCAUUUCGCAUGCGUCCGCCAAACAAUUCGCUCUACACUUUCGGGGCCCGAGUUGGACCCUUGACGUAAAGCUUGACCGUUUGAUCUCACACUAUCUCCCACCAUCUUAAAGUCCACAUCGCCACUUUACGCAUCUCUAGACUUCCUUAUGGCUACCGCUUCCGUCGGUGGACCCAGUUGUGACUGCGAGUACAUGCUUUCGCACCCCUCGUUUGUCCUAAUCUAUGGGACCAUCAGGUGCGGCAUUUGCUA